AUCCCUCACUGCUAAGCUAUCCCUCGCUGCUAAGCUAUCACUGCCAAUCUCUCGCUGCUAAUCUAUCGCUGCCAACCUAUCUACCGCGGCAAAUCUAUCUAUCGCUGCCAAUUUAUCUACCACUGCCAAUCUAUCUAUCACUUCUAAUCUAUCGCUGCUAAUCUAUUGCUGCUAAUCUAUUGCUGCUGCCAAUCUAUCUAUCACUGCUAAUCUAUUGCUGCUAAUCUAUCACUGCUAAUCUAUCACUGCUAAUCUAUCACUGCUAAUCUAUCGCUGCUAAUCUAUCGCUCCUAAUCUAUCGCUGCCAAUCUAUCUACCGCGGCGAAUCUAUCUAUUGCUGCCAACCAACCUACCACUGCCAAUCUAUCUAUCGCUGCCAAUCUAUCGCUGCCAAUCUAUCACUGCCAAUCUAUCUACUGCAGUGAAUCUAUCUAUCACUAUCAUUACUAGUUCAAAAUAGAACUAGAGCAUAAAUACACUAAACUUCUUUUGAUAGGUAAUGAUUUUUGGUAACACUCAUAGCAUUAUAUCAUCUAUAUAGGGUAAAUCAUGGUCCCAUUUGGUCCCAUUUUAACAAAAUGGGAUCAAAUGAGAUCAGAAUCAGUAAUUUAUAAGAAGAACAUGACCUGGGACU
rnacentral:sRNA from 1 species